CCUACGGGUGACAGCAGUGAGGAAUAUUGGUCAAUGGGCGCGAGCCUGAACCAGCCAAGUCGCGUGAGGGAAGACGGUCCUAUGGAUUGUAAACCUCUUUUGUCGGGGAGCAAAAGCCGCCACGCGUGGCGUUCCGAGAGUACCCGAAGAAAAAGCAUCGGCUAACUCUGUGCCAGCAGCCGCGGUAAUACAGAGGUCUCAAGCGUUGUUCGGAAUCACUGGGCGUAAGGCGUGCGUAGGCUGUUUCGUAAGUCGUGUGUGAAAGGCGCGGGCUCAACCCGCGGACGGCACAUGAUACUGCGAGACUAGAGUAAUGGAGGGGGAACCGGAAUUCGCGGUGUAGCAGUGAAAUGCGUAGAGAUUAGGAGGAACACCAGUGGCGAAGGCGGCCUGCUGGACGAUGACUGACGUUGAGGCGCGAAAGCGUGGGGAGCAAACAGGAUUAGAUACCCGGGUAGUC
rnacentral:rRNA from 1 species